rnacentral:rRNA from 1 species
UACGAAGGGGGCUAGCGUUGUUCGGAAUUACUGGGCGUAAAGCGCGCGCAGGCGGUCCUUCAAGUCAGAGGUGAAAGCCCAGAGCUCAACUCUGGAACGGCCUUUGAGACUAGAGGACUUGGGUACGGGAGAGGUGAGUGGAAUUCCGAGUGUAGAGGUGAAAUUCGUAGAUAUUCGGAAGAACACCAGUGGCGAAGGCGGCUCACUGGCCCGUUACCGACGCUCAGGCGCGACAGCGUGGGGAGCAAGCAGG